GACGAACGCUGGCGGCGUGCCUAAUACAUGCAAGUUGAGCGCUGAAGGUUGGUACUUGUACCAACUGGAUGAGCAGCGAACGGGUGAGUAACGCGUGGGGAAUCUGCCUUUGAGCGGGGGACAACAUUUGGAAACGAAUGCUAAUACCGCAUAAAAACUUUAAACACAAGUUUUAAGUUUGAAAGAUGCAAUUGCAUCACUCAAAGAUGAUCCCGCGUUGUAUUAGCUAGUUGGUGAGGUAAAGGCUCACCAAGGCGAUGAUACAUAGCCGACCUGAGAGGGGGAUCGGCCACAUUGAGACUGAGACACGGCCCAAACUCCUACGGGAGGCAGCAGUAGGGAAUCUUCGGCAAUGGACGAAAGUCUGACCGAGCAACGCCGCGUGAGUGAAGAAGGUUUUCGGGUCGUAAAACUCUGUUGGUAGAGAAGAACGUUGGUGGGAGUGGAAAGCUCAUCAAGUGACGGUAACUACCCAGAAAGGGACGGCUAACUACGUG
rnacentral:rRNA from 1 species